GACGUAGGGGCCGAGCGUUGUCCGGAGUUACUGGGCGUAAAGGGCGCGCAGGCGGCCCGUCGCGUCGGAUGUGAAAGUCCGCGGCUCAACCGCGGAAGGUCGUUCGAAACGGACGGGCUGGAGGCAGGGAGAGGUCGGUGGAAUUCCCGGUGUAGUGGUGAAAUGCGUAGAGAUCGGGAGGAACACCAGUGGCGAAGGCGGCCGACUGGACCUGACCUGACGCUGAGGCGCGAAGGCGUGGGGAGCGAACGGGAUUAGAAACCCCCGUAGUCC
rnacentral:rRNA from 1 species